rnacentral:tRNA from 1 species
UCCCUGGUGGUCUUGUGGUUAAGAUUUGGCACUUUCACUGCUGUAACCUGGGAACGAUCCCUGGUCUGGGAA